UACGUAGGCAGCGAGCGUUGUUCGGAAUUACUGGGCGUAAAGGGCGCGCAGGCGGCUCAGACAGUCAGAUGUGAAAGCCCCCGGGCUUAACCUGGGAACUGCAUUUGAUACUACUGAGCUUGAGUACGGGAGAGGAUAGUGGAAUUCCCAGUGUAGAGGUGAAAUUCGUAGAUAUUGGGAAGAACACCGGUGGCGAAGGCGGCGACCUGGUCCUUGACUGACGCUGAGGCGCGAAAGCGUGGGGAGCAAACAGG
rnacentral:rRNA from 1 species